rnacentral:rRNA from 1 species
UUGACCUCGAAUCAGGUAGGGAUACCCGCUGAACUUAAGCAUAUCAAUAAGCGGAGGAAAAGAAACCAACAGGGAUUGCCUUAGUAACUGCGAGUGAAGCGGCAAGAGCUCAAAUUUGAAAUCUGGCGUCUUUGGCGUCCGAGUUGUAAUUUGGAGAGGCAUCUUCGGGUGCGGCGCCGGCCUAAGUUCCUUGGAACAGGACGUCAUAGAGGGUGAGAAUCCCGUUCUCGGCUGGCUGUCCGUAUCCAUGUGAAGUGUCUUCGACGAGUCGAGUUGUUUGGGAAUGCAGCUCAAAAUGGGUGGUAAACUCCAUCUAAAGCUAAAUACUGGCGAGAGACCGAUAGCGCACAAGUAGAGUGAUCGAAAGAUGAAAAGCACUUUGAAAAGAGAGUUAAAAAGUACGUGAAAUUGUUGAAAGGGAAGCGCUUGAGACCAGACUCGGCGUGAGGUAUUCAUCGUCCCUUCUGGGGCGUGCACUUGCCUCUCGUCGGGCCAGCAUCGGUUGCGGCGGCGGGAUAAAGACCCGGGGAAUGUGGCUGCUCUCGGGCAGUGUUAUAGCCCUGGGUGCCAUGCCGCCUGCUGCGACCGAGGACCGCGCU